rnacentral:lncRNA from 1 species
CCUGCCCUCAACAGCCCUGCUCAGCUGCUGUGAACUGAAGCCUAUGGUUUCCUUCAGGGAGUCAGUCCAUCUUGUAUUUAGUCUUCCUCUUUUCCUGCUGCUUUCCACCUUUCCCAGCAUCACUUGUCUUUUCCAGAGAUCCUUCUCAUUAUGUGCCUAAAGUAGGACAGCCUCAGUUCCAGCAUAUUUGCCCCCAGAGAUAGUUCAGGUUUGAUUUGAUCUAGGACCCACUUGUUUGUCUAUCUGGCAGUCCAGGAUAUCCACAAAGCUCUCCUCCAGUACUGUAAUUCAAACAAAUCCCCCCAUUGCAAACUCAGUACUAAGGCUAUAUAAAACCACCCCAUCCUCAUUAUAUGCUCUCAGUGAGAGAUCUGUGUAAACCUGCGCCAUCGCCAAAUGCCUUGGGAAAGGCCAUAGCUCAGAAGUAAUGCACCAGGGCUUAAAUCCCAUAGGAGGCGAGAACUGCAAUGCUGGAAUGGUACAACAUCCUUCCUUUCCCUUCCCACUGUCUUUGGAGGGGCAUAAACCCCACUUCUGCUAAGUUUCCCAGUCCUUCAGUGUCAUUGUUCCGGGAUGCAUAGGGGCAUCCAGUAGAAAGGGGCAAUCUUCCCAUCCUAUUUCCUCCUAAUUCUAUUUUUUCAUUUGCAGAUGGACAUCACUGGAUCCCACCUUUAGUUUAACUGCUUUGCAUCUCCAAAUGAGGCUAGGAACCAGAUUUGUCUGUGGCCCAGAAACGUUACUGGCAGGCACUUGACAGUGCUUGGCCAGAUGGAGGAAGGCUCUGACCCUGGAUAAGGCAGCUUCCUUGGUCCCUGAAGUUUCUCAGGUGACAAUGCCAGCUUCAGCCUCCAGCCUUCACAGUGCUGCCUUCACAGACUUUUGGAGCAGACCCCAAAAGCUUCUUGCCUGCAAUCAAAACAUGCAACUGAGAGAGAAAAGGGGCUGGCAUUUAUUCAUCAUAAUUUCCCACUGGACUCUGGAUGCACUGAAGUUAAUGCUAAUUUAUCCCUUGACUGAAAACCAUAGACAUUCGUUCAUAGAGCCACAGGUCAUUCAGAAUGGUGUACACAAGUGCCCCCAACCACCACACAACUGGCUGUAUAGGCUUGGCUGACAAGGAGAGCCAGGUAAGUGUAGUGGUCAUGAGUGUUGCCCUGGGACUUGGAUGUCCCAGGUUCAAAUCCUCUCUGCCUUGUG